AGUGAUGUAGCUCAGUGGUGGAGUCCUUGCUGAGCAUGCAAGAGGCCCUGGGUUCAAUCCCUAGUACUACAA
rnacentral:tRNA from 1 species